AGCUGUAUGAAAAUUGUAUAAUUGUUAUGUCGAUUACUUUCUCCUUGCACAAUUGCUUCUAAUAAAAUUAAUUUAAAAAAAAAAUAAAUAAAUAGAAUUAAAAAAAAUAUAUAUAUAUUAUUGGGAAGCAGGAAGCCAAUUGAGGGUGGAGGCACUUAUGAGUGGGACUGGUGUGGACAGUAAAUGAAUGGGACAGGUGUGGGACAAGAGAUGAAUGGGGGUGGUGUGAACUGUGGAUGUAUGGGGCAGGUGAGGAUCGUGGAUGAAUGGGAAGUAGAGAUAAUCUAGAAAAUUGCAGGCCACUGAGUCUUGAGUCAGUGGUAGGGAAGCUAUUGGAGCGGAUACUUUGGAAUAGGAUUUAUUCACAUUUGGAAGGAAAUGGGAUAACUAAGUACAGUCAUCAUGGCUUUUUCCAUGGCAGAUCACGUCUUACUAAUUUGAAUUAGCUUUUUGAGGAGGUGUCAAAGGUGAUUGAUCAGAGUAAGGCAGUGGCUGUUGUCUAUGUGGAUUUUAGUAAGGCAUUUGAUAAAGUCCCCCAUGGUAGGUUGAUCCAGAAGUUUAAGAUGUACGGAAGAGAGACACAAACUGCUAGAGUAACUCCGCGGGACAGGUAGCAUCUCUGGAUAGAAGGAAUGGGAGAUGUUUUGGGUUGAGAACCCUCUUCUGACAGGUGUACGGAAGAUGUAUGGAAUCAGUGGUGUAUGUGGCUGUAGAUGGGACAUCUGCUGCCUGGAUUGGAGAGUUUUUCAUUAGAGGGAUAAACUUGAAUCAUUUUCUCUGCAGCGUUGGAGGUUGAGAGUAGACCUGAUAGAAGUACAUGAAACUAUGAGAGCCAUAUAUAGAGUAGACAUUCAGAACCUUUUUUCCAACAGUAGGAAUGUCAAAGGCUAGAGGGUGUAGCUUUAAUGUCAGAGGGAAAAGUUUAAAGGGGAUGUGCAGGGCAAGUUUCAUUUACACUGAGGGUGGUGGCUACCAGGAAUGCGUUGCUCAGAGUGAUGGUGGAAGCAGAUACAACAGUGGUGUUUAAGAGGUUUUUAGAUAGACACAUUGAUAUGCAAGAAAUAGAGGGAUAUGGAUUAUUUGCAUGCAGUGGAUAUUAGUACAAAUUGGCAUCUGGUUUAGCAAAGACAUUGUGGACCAAGGAGCCUGUUUUAGUGCUGUAUUAUUCCAUCUUUUUGCAUAUCAUUCAACAGCUCAAAUUCUAUGAAUAGUACUCCCUGGUAUGAACUGUGCCACAAUCCACUGGUGAUAUAGUUGUGUAAGCAGACGACUGAUUUCUGAGAUGUUUAAGAAGCCAGAUUUUCACUUCUUUGUGCAGAUGGCCAGGAAUUUUAUAUUUGAACAACUGCUGAGCAACAACAGUGUUAAAUAUCUGAAACAGAUGCUCUUUUGUGUCUGCAUUUCAUUUUCAAGACUUUUAAGCUAUUACAACUUGGCGCCAUUGAAUUUCAACACAAACUUUGGUGCCUCACACGAAUCAACUUCAUGAAUCUUCUCUGUUCUGCCUCCAACAUAAACACAUCAUUUGUGAAAGAGAGAACUGCAGAUGCUUGUGUUCAAGAAGGAACUGCAGGUCCUGGAAGGUACACAAAAUUGCUGGAGAAACUCAGCGGGUGCAGCAGCAUCUAUGGAGCGAAGGAAAUAGGCGACGUUUCGGACCGAAACCCUUCUUCAGACUAAAACUGGUGAGAAAUUUCCAGUGGAGUUGCCCAAGGGUAUCCUCGGACCAGUGCUUUUCUUAAUCUACAAUAAUGAGUUGGACUUAGGUAUGCAGCAGAUAAUUUUUAAAUCUGCUUAAGGCAGAAAAACCUGGUCUACUGUCAGGUGGAUAUCAAUAAACUUCAAGGAAAUAUACACAACAUUGUGAAAUCAACAGACAAAAUGAUGGAAUGGGAAAAGCGAUGGCAGAUGGAAUUUAAUGUUUAGAAAUGCUAAGUGGAAGGAAAAAUAGGAGGAUUAUGAACUAGAAAACAAUUCUGUCUGAAAAAGGUACAAGAAGAGAGAUCGACAUCAUUCCUUGAAAAAUGUCAAGCCAAGACGAGACAGUGAUUAUAAAAAUAUGCCUUUUAAAUAGAGGCACACCAUGCCAGAGCAAGAAAAACACAACAAAUCUUUAAUGAAAAACACAGUGGUUCGGCUACAAUCAAGUACUGUGUUCAAUUCUGGCUGCUGCAUUUUAGGCAAGGUGUAAAAGCUUUACAGAUGUGCAGAAGAUAUUGACCUCUUCUUCUUGCGUAUGGCGUGCACAGCCUAAAGUUGUAGGACAACUUGUUCUAUUUGAUCUUAUUUGAUUGUGCACGCCGGGUUGAUUGCAUUCAUCGAAACAGGGUGGACCACGUGAAGGUUGCAAUCUCCCACCCCAAGAAAUUGACUGAAAUGAUUCCAGGGAUGAGAGCCAUAGUUAUAUGGAUAGACUAGAAAAGCAAGUGUUGUUUUCCUUGGAAAGGGGAGGCUAUGAGGAGAUCAGAUAGAAGUAUUUAAAAUCUUGAAAUCUUGGGCAGUAACAUGGAUAGAAACCGUUCAUAUUGGUAUAGGUUUGAAGAACUAGGGGACAUGGAAUAAAACUGAUUGGCAAUAAAAAUUAGAAGUGACAUGAGGAAAAGUUUUUAACACAGUGAGUAUUUAAGGCCUGCAAUGCUGUAUUAGUAGUGAAGGCAAAUUCAAUUGUAGCACUACCAAAGGGUAGGCAUCUAAAAGGAUAGAAUUUGCAAGAUUAUGAUAAGUAAGCAAGGGAAUGAGACUAGAUAAUUGUUCACAUAAAGAACAUGUAAAAUGACAUAACCAGCAGCAUUAUUUUCAUGCCGUAUCAUUCUGUGAUUUCUGUCAUAUUGUGUUUUAUUGUUCUCAAUUUGCCUGUGAUUUACAGAUAAUGCAGAGCAAAUUAUUUGAUUGUUCAUUGACAACAUGGUACUUGAGAGCUUCAAAAUCUUUGGUGUAAAUAUUACCAAUGAUCUGCCGUGGUCAUUCACACUGAAGUGACAGCCACGGAGGAACACAAAUGCAGUUACUUCUUCAGGAGACUGAGGAAAUUCGGCAUGUCCCAAAUAACUCUUACAUAAUUCUACAGAUGCACCAUAGAAACCAUACUAUCCAGUUACAUCACAAUGCGGUUUGGCAAAAACUCUGCCCAAUGUCACAAGAACUUGCAGAGAGUGAUGAAAGUUGCCCAGGAAAAUUGGCAACAUAAUCAAAGAUUAUACAGAAGCAUGAAAGCAUGCACUACCAGAUUCAGGAACAGCUUGUACCCUUCUGUUAUAAGGCUUCGGAACGGGAUUUCCAGAAGCUCGAGUAUAUCCGAUUCUCCUCUAUCUCAUUGGGAACAUUGGACUUUUGUCUCGGAACUGUUGCGCUAGAUUCUGCAAUUUGCAUCUUUACUAAUUGCACUCGAGUUUGGCUUAGUUAUAUAUAGUAAUACCUGCAAAAACAAAGCCUUUCACUGUCAAUAAUAGACCUAAACCUAUUCUCGGUACACGUCACAAUAAUAAACUAAACUAAACAUUUCUUGAUUCAGAACCAGCAUGGUUUACUAAUCAUUCUUCAACCUCAAUGCUUGGGGAGACUGCUGCUGCCUACCAGUUCAUAUUAGUGCAUUGUGGAAGAUGAUGUGCUGAAAUGAAUUUACAAUCACCACAUACAAAACCAUAAAAACACACACAAAGUCUGUGAACACGUGCCAUUGCAAAGAGCAGCAAAUCCCAUUCAGCUGCUACUGAUACCAUAACCCACACUAGUUUACACCAUGCAGAUAAUCUUGCAAAUUAGACUAACAAUUAAAUAGUAAAAGUUGAGAUGGAUAUGAUUUAUUGUGCUCCAUACAGAUAUAAUUACUCACGCAGCCAGCAAAAUAUGUCUUCAAAGUGAAAUGGUAGCCAAAUCUAAACGCAUACGAGCUUUUAAAUUCUGAUUCUUUCCCUGAUUCAUUUGAGAAAGGGACUUAAAAGGCCCAUAAUAAAUGGAUUAUAUCAAUGUCUGACUAAGCACUGACCAGACUGAAAUCCAUAACUCCAAUAUCAUAUGUAUAAGUAGAUAACAAACUCCACCUUAAAUUAUGACUUGUAGUUGUAAAUUAUGACCUGCAGUUGCAUUAAUAAACUCUAACAUUGAAAGUAUAAACAUUUUGUUAAUCUAGAUGAGAAUUCUUAUCUGAGUUGUUUGAGACACAUUUUCACCUUGUCACACGAAACCUGUGGUUAUUCAAAGAGUUCUAUAGUUCCUUUCUUUUCCUUGCAGUUUCUCAAAAGCAACAUGUGAUACGAGCCAGAUGAUCUGUUUUCUUGUGUGUUGGGGGGAAUGAUAUCGACUCAAUGAGAAGGUACAUUGUUUUUGGUAGUCAAUAGACCAGCACAUUCCUUGCAUGGCAAAUGUCCAGGGGGGAUCAGGGAGGCAGUAUAACAUGGGCAUCAGAUUCUUAAAAAACCUCCAGUGUCUAAACCCAUGACUUGACAUUGAACGCACUACCUCCUUGAAAAUGUGUUGUUUAUCUCUUUUAUCUCGUUGCCCUUCUUGCUCAACUUACCUGCUUCUGAUGCUCAGUGAAGCACAGCAACCAUCUGAUCUUGUAGCUGAACUGCCCUCUUCAUGUCCUGGUUCAUAUUCCAGAUCAGAAGCUUAACUACAACCUCUCCACCUUGCAUCAUUUUCCACCUCACCAUCAAAGCUAAUUCACUUAAUAGUAUCAUACCCUUACGCAAGUCUAAGGUUUGCUCCAUCUCCAUAGGAACAAAACUGAUGGAAUUAAGAAAACUCUGUAAUUCAUAAAAUGAGGGUGACUUUGUUGUUACAUAAUCCUUUUACAUUAAAAGAUAACCACCAUAAUGGCACAAUGCUUCUUUGUUCCGAUCUCCAUUGCAAAGUGACAUUUACUUUAUGCUGCAUUUAUGUCAGCCAUGUGUGGCAUUUGUAAUAUAAAAUAAUAAUGGGUUGAGAAAAUGAAUCAGACUGGAAGCUGACUCUUGCUCGUGUUCCUUUAUGACUUGAGAUUUGUGCCUUAUUUGAUUACACACCUCACUCCAGAAGGGUGGUUACCUAUCAUACAUGCCAACCUAGAAAAUCAAUAGCUGUCAGACCCGUCAGCAAAGUAGACAUACACCCAUGAAGAUGAUAGAUCACAAAGUCUUGGCAGGUGAAAACGCAAAGGUAUGCGGGUUUGUAAUUAAGUAGCAUGUGAAUGUACCAGUCCUUCAUUUGCAUGAAGACUUUAAAUAAGUUAAUCCCAUUCAUUCCAUCUGUUCACUGCCAUCUAUUUCUUCCUCUUUUGAUCUAUGUUUCGUUUCCAUAUUGAGGAAUCAGAAAGGAAUCUAAUUUUUACUCCAAUGCAGUGCCGCUGAUGAUGGUUGCACUUUGAUGGUGGUGUAAGUUUGGCCAAAUCUCAUCUCAUGAAUUUAACUCCACUUCUUUUUAAAUAUCUGAAUUGGUUUCUGACACCUCUUAGCACUGUUGCCAGCAUUACUGACACAAAUUACAACCUCAGCUGUAAUCUUGCAAUCAAGCAGCUGUAUUGCUUGCAAUCGGUUCAUUAACAAUGGGAGUAGUGCUAAAGGAAAUGAGAAGUUCCCUAACUCAAAUUUUGAGGAUAUUUUACAGGAUAAGGGCCCAAUCUGUGCUAAUAUAUAUCAGUGAAUGCAGUAUCACUGACCUGGAUUUGGAAACCACAUGAUAGUCACGUAACAUGCGUGACAUUCUCUUGAACCCGUUGAUGCAAUUUAUUUCAACAUUCGUUCCAAGUAAGUUGUUGUAUGUUGUCAUUAAUCAUUAAUAUUAUGUUGUCAUUAUUCCAUACAGGAAACAUGCCAUCUAAGUGAUAUUUUAUGGCAAAAGUGACUACACUUUAUGCUCAUCUCCCUCCAGGUUUCAGAUGUCCUGAAGGCAGCACAAUGCAAUUAAAUCGUAAAUUGUAGUUUUUACAGCAGGCUGUUAUAGAUUUUCUAAGUAUCAAUACUAGUUUAACUGAUAUUUAUCUUAUUGAUAUUUUUACGCAAGCAAUAAAUUUAAGAUUCUGCGCUCCUGUGGGAAUCUCGUCUGCUGAUAGCAGAGACUAGAAAAUCAGUCUGAAGAAGGUACUCGACCCGAAACGUCACCCAUUCCCUCCCUCUAGAGAUGCUGCCUAUCCCACUGAAUUACUCCAGUAUUUUGUGUCUACCACAUAAAAUCUUCUGUGUAUUCUGCAGUUUUUAUAUAAUUUUUCAAUAAUUAAUGAUAACUUACAGCAGAAUUUUA